rnacentral:rRNA from 1 species
AACGAACGCUGGCGGCAGGCUUAACACAUGCAAGUCGAACGGGUGCAGCAAUGCAUCAGUGGCAGACGGGUGAGUAACACGUGGGAACCUUCCUAGGGGUACGGAACAACUCAGGGAAACUUGAGCUAAUACCGUAUACGUCCGUGAGGAGAAAGAUUUAUCGCCCUUAGACGGGCCCGCGUCGGAUUAGCUAGUUGGUGGGGUAACGGCCUACCAAGGCGACGAUCCGUAGCUGAUCUUAGAGGAUGAUCAGCCACACUGGGACUGAGACGCGGCCCAGACUCCUACGGGAGGCAGCAGUGGGGAAUCUUGGACAAUGGGCGCAAGCCUGAUCCAGCCAUGCCGCGUGAGUGAAGAAGGUCUUCGGAUUGUAAAGCGUCUUUUGCCUAGGGACGAUAAUGACGGUACCUGG